CCGACCCUACGGGACGCAGCAGUAGGGAAUUUUCGUCAAUGGGCGCAAGCCUGAACGAGCGAUGCCGCGUGAGUGAAGAAGGCCUUCGGGUCGUAAAGCUCUGUUGCGGGGGAAAAAAGGCAGCAUCAGGAAAUGGGUGCUGACUGAUGGUGCCCCGCCAGACAGUCACGGCUAACUACGUGCCAGCAGCCGCGGUAAUACGUAGGUGGCGAUCGUUAUCAGGAAUGAUUGGGCGUAAAGGGUGCGCAGGCGGUCCUGCACGUCUGGAGUGAA
rnacentral:rRNA from 1 species